rnacentral:misc_RNA from 1 species
GACAAGAAACAAUAUAAUCAAAAGCAACUUAUACAAGAAUGGCAAAGAUGUGUAAAUUGAUUACACAUUUCUUUCACUUUAGGACCUAUAAUUCACACUUGAAAAAUUCUUGGGUGGACUACCAAGAACCAUGGAGAAGUGAUGGCAUCCACAUAUGGAUUCCACAAAUGCUUGUGUCUAUCGUUCAUGGUGAACCACGUUCACCUAAGAAUUUAAC